CCUGGUGUUGAUUGCGAGGGGGUACCACCUGUUCCCAUCCCGAACACAGCAGUUAAGCCCCUCUGCGCCAAUGGUACUUGUCGGGUAACCGGCCGGGAGAGUAGGUCUUCGCCAGGA
rnacentral:rRNA from 1 species